UUCACAUUUUCUAUUCCACAUUUCUAUUGUAGCGUACUGUAUGUAUGGAGCAUAAUAUAUUUGUGUAUAUUCUUUAUCACCGCGGACACGUGAGCUACCAUGGCCUUAUGACUCUCAAGUGGUGCAGCGGUCAAAGGCACAGCACAUCAGUACUAGAGGUGUCACUACAGACUCCCUGGUUCAAAUCCAGGCUGCGUUUCCAUCAAAAAACCAGAAACAUUAUUUGCCAAUAUCAUAACUGGAGCUGGACAUCUUUGGAGCUGAAGAAUGAGGACAGCUUUUGUAUGCUAACGUACACUCCUUAACAGUUGUACUGGAUGAAAACACAGCAAGAAAACACAUAUGCCAAUAUGUAAUAUUCAUCUAUUUUAUUGCAGUACUGGUAGUUGGUUCAACAACUUGUUUUACUAGAGGACAAAAAACUGAAUAUGCAUAACCCAUAUUUAAUAUCCAUGCAGUGACUGAACAACAACUGCAUUUCCACCCCCAUCUCUAAGGCAUAGUAUCA